CGCGGGGGAGCAGCCUGGUAGCUCGUCGGGCUCAUAACCCGAAGGUCGUCGGUUCAAAUCCGGCCCCCGCAACCA
rnacentral:tRNA from 1 species